AUCCAGCUGACGAGUUGCAAAUAAAACGAAGCGAGCGUCCUGGAU
rfam:Schistosoma rodhaini strain Burundi genome assembly, scaffold: SROB_scaffold0000591